AUUGAACGCUGGCGGAAUGCUUUACACAUGCAAGUCGAACGGUAGAGGGGGCAACCCCUCGAGAGUGGCGAACGGGUGAGUAAUAUAUCGGAACGUGCCCAGUCGUGGGGGAUAACGUAGCGAAAGUUACGCUAAUACCGCAUACGAUCUAAGGAUGAAAGCGGGGGAUCGCAAGACCUCGCGCGAUUGGAGCGGCCGAUAUCAGAUUAGGUAGUUGGUGGGGUAAAGGCUCACCAAGCCAACGAUCUGUAGCUGGCAUGAGAGGACGACCGGCCGAACUGGAACUGGGACACCGUCCAGACUCCUACGGGAGGCAGCAGUGGGGAAUUUUGGACAAUGGACGCAAGUCUGAUCCAGCCAUUCCGCGUGCAGGAUGAAGGCCCUCGGGUUGUAAACUGCUUUUGUACGGAACGAAAAGGUCUCUCUUAAUACGGGGGACUCAUGACGGUACCGUAAGAAUAAGCACCGGCUAACUACGUGCCAGCCGCCGCAGUAA
rnacentral:rRNA from 1 species